rnacentral:misc_RNA from 1 species
UGGCAAUUGGGUAUUAACCCCUCUAAUAGGCCCAAGACUGCUUUCUGCAUUCCUACGGCCCAAUACCAAUGGACAGUCCUUCCAUUCGGUCUUAAGACGGCCCCAUCAGUUUUCCAAAAGGCCAUGACAAGGAUAUUCGAGCCCAUACUACAUAGUGCUCUUAUUUAUAUAGACGAUAUCCUUCUCUUCUCCAAAGAUGUUACAACCCAUAGGGCACUCCUCUUCACAUUCCAACAAUUGGUGGAUUCCUAUGGA